rnacentral:rRNA from 1 species
AACUAGCCGAGUUUAGUGAUGGCUCUGCCUGAACGCUGUUCAAGUGCUUGACACAUGCUAAUCGAACGAUUCAUUUAAAUAACAUUUUAUUAAUAACUGGUGUACCGGUGAGUAAUAGGAUAUUUUUCGGCUAUCCUUCAAGUGAGGUAUAAAAUGCCCCAUAAAACCAAACGGUCUCCAGACCGCUUUAGGAGGGAACCGAGUAUCUUCGCAAUAGGUAGUAGUUACGGUGAUGACUUAACUAGCUCAAAAUUUCCGUCACCGUAGCUGAAAAGUUGAUCGGUCACAUUGGGGCUGAGAAAAACCCAGUGCAAUCUAACGUACAGCAGUGAGGAAUCUUAGUCAAUGGCCUAACGGCUGAACUGGUAACUUGAAAAAAUGAGAAGUUCGAACGUAGAAAUAUAAGUAGAAUUUAAUUGAAUUGGCAAAUAAAAUUUUAACUACAUAUUUAUACUGACAGUAUGUAUACUCGGUCUUGACCAAUUACGUGCCAGCAGUCGAGGUAAUACGUAGGAGGCUAGCGUUAUUCAUCAUAAUUAGGUUUAAAGGGUACUCAGACGGUCAGGAAAUCCUUACUAAGGUAAUACUUGACUAGAGUUUUAUAUAAGAAGACAGAACUUAGCGUGGAGAGAUUUAAUUCGUUGAUACCAAAAGGACUGAUAAAGGCGAAGGCAGUCUUUUAUGUAAUAACUGACGUUAAAGGACGAAGGCAUAGAUCACGAAAAGGCUUCGAGACCCAACUACUCUUUGCAGACAAUGCUGAAUGCUAUGGAUUAGAAAAAUUUAGUCUGUAAAUGAAAAUGUCAGCAUUCCACCUCAAGAGUAAUGUGGCAACGCAGGAACUGAAAUCACUAGGCCGUUUCUAAAACCAGUAGUGAAGUAUGUUAUUUAAUUCGAUAACCCACGAAAAACCUUACCACAACUUGAAUAUUGCAAAUAUUUGCAAAACAGGUGUUGCACGGCUGUUUUCAGUUAAUGUUGCGAGAUCAUGGCGCCCCCAUGAAUUAACAUAAUCCUUUGCUUUAUUUAUAAAUAUUUUAAUAAAGCCUUCUUCCCGCAUAGGGGUAAAGAUAAAAAGGAGAAAGACAAGUCAUCAUGGCCCUUAUGUUGUGGGCUCUAGACGUGCCACGUAUUCCUUAACAAAGAGAAGCGAAAAUGUCACUUUACGCUAAUCUCAUAAAAAAGGAUAUAAAUUUUGUAUGGAUUGUAGUCUGAAACUCGACUAUAUGAAUAAGUAAUUACUAGUAAUCGUGAAUCACCAUUGUCACGGUGACUUACAUCUUGGCUUGGUACUAAUCACUCGUCGCACGCUGAAAGGUGAGUGUACAGAAAGUUUGCUUUUCUCUUAUAAUUCCUUUUAAUUAUUUAAAUUAUUAAAUUAUAAUAGAUUUCUUCGCAUGUACGCCUCUCCUUAGUGUUAAGUCGAACUAUGGUUCGUGUAGUGGAAGUUGCACGGGUUUAAUAGAUCAA